rnacentral:rRNA from 1 species
GCCUACGGGGGGCAGCAGUCGAGAAUCAUUCACAAUGGGGGAAACCCUGAUGGUGCGACGCCGCGUGGGGGAAUGAAGGUCUUCGGAUUGUAAACCCCUGUCAUGUGGGAGCAAAUUAAAAAGAUAGUACCACAAGAGGAAGAGACGGCUAACUCUGUGCCGGCAGCCGCGGUAAUACAGAGGUCUCAAGCGUUGUUCGGAAUCACUGGGCGUAAAGCGUGCGUAGGCUGUUUCGUAAGUCGUGUGUGAAAGGCGCGGGCUCAACCCGCGGACGGCACAUGAUAUUGCGAGACUAGAGUAAUGGG